GAUGAACGCUGGCGGCGUGCCUAAUACAUGCAAGUCGAGCGGUAAGGCCUCUUCGGAGGUACACGAGCGGCGGACGGCUGAGUAACGCGUAGGAACGUACCCCAAAGUGAGGGACAAGCACCAGAAAUGGUGUCUAAUACCGCAUGUGAUCCAAGGAUUAAAGCUUUAUGCGCUUUGGGAACGGCCUGCGUUUGAUUAGCUAGUUGGUGAGGUAAAAGCUCACCAAGGCGACGAUCAAUAGCUGGUCUGAGAGGAUGAUCAGCCAGACUGGGACUGAGACACGGCCCAGACUCCUACGGGAGGCAGCAGUAGGGAAUUUUCCACAAUGGGCGAAAGCCUGAUGGAGCAACGCCGCGUGCAGGAUGAAGGCCUUAGGGUUGUAAAC
rnacentral:rRNA from 1 species